rnacentral:rRNA from 1 species
UGGGGAAUAUUGGACAAUGGGGGGAACCCUGAUCCAGCCAUGCCGCGUGUGUGAAGAAGGCCUUAUGGUUGUAAAGCACUUUAAGCGAGGAGGAGGGUACUGGUAUUAAUACUACCAGCUACUGGACGUUACUCGCAGAAUAAGCACCGGCUAACUCUGUGCCAGCAGCCGCGGUAAUACAGAGGGUGCGAGCGUUAAUCGGAUUUACUGGGCGUAAAGCGUGCGUAGGCGGCUAAUUGAGUCGGAUGUGAAAUCCCCGAGCUUAACUUGGGAAUUGCAUUCGAUACUGGUUAGCUAGAGUGUGGGAGAGGAUGGUAGAAUUCCAGGUGUAGCGGUGAAAUGCGUAGAGAUCUGGAGGAAUACCGAUGGCGACGGCAGCCAUCUGGCCUAACACUGACGCUGAGGUACGAAAGCAUGGGGAGCAAACAGG